AGAGUUUGAUCAUGGCUCAGAUUGAACGCUGGCGGCAGGCCUAACACAUGCAAGUCGAGCGGUAGCACAGAGAGCUUGCUCUCGGGUGACGAGCGGCGGACGGGUGAGUAAUGUCUGGGAAACUGCCUGAUGGAGGGGGAUAACUACUGGAAACGGUAGCUAAUACCGCAUAACGUCGCAAGACCAAAGUGGGGGACCUUCGGGCCUCAUGCCAUCAGAUGUGCCCAGAUGGGAUUAGCUAGUAGGUGGGGUAACGGCUCACCUAGGCGACGAUCCCUAGCUGGUCUGAGAGGAUGACCAGCCACACUGGAACUGAGACACGGUCCAGACUCCUACGGGAGGCAGCAGUGGGGAAUAUUGCACAAUGGGCGCAAGCCUGAUGCAGCCAUGCCGCGUGUGUGAAGAAGGCCUUCGGGUUGUAAAGCACUUUCAGUGGGGAGGAAGGCGUUAAGGUUAAUAACCUUGGCGAUUGACGUUACCCGCAGAAGAAGCACCGGCUAACUCCGUGCCAGCAGCCGCGGUAAUACGGAGGGUGCAAGCGUUAAUCGGAAUUACUGGGCGUAAAGCGCACGCAGGCGGUCUGUCAAGUCGGAUGUGAAAUCCCCGGGCUCAACCUGGGAACUGCAUUCGAAACUGGCAGGCUAGAGUCUUGUAGAGGGGGGUAGAAUUCCAGGUGUAGCGGUGAAAUGCGUAGAGAUCUGGAGGAAUACCGGUGGCGAAGGCGGCCCCCUGGACAAAGACUGACGCUCAGGUGCGAAAGCGUGGGGAGCAAACAGGAUUAGAUACCCUGGUAGUCCACGCCGUAAACGAUGUCGAUUUGGAGGUUGUGCCCUUGAGGCGUGGCUUCCGGAGCUAACGCGUUAAAUCGACCGCCUGGGGAGUACGGCCGCAAGGUUAAAACUCAAAUGAAUUGACGGGGGCCCGCACAAGCGGUGGAGCAUGUGGUUUAAUUCGAUGCAACGCGAAGAACCUUACCUGGUCUUGACAUCCACAGAACUUUCCAGAGAUGGAUUGGUGCCUUCGGGAACUGUGAGACAGGUGCUGCAUGGCUGUCGUCAGCUCGUGUUGUGAAAUGUUGGGUUAAGUCCCGCAACGAGCGCAACCCUUAUCCUUUGUUGCCAGCGGUCCGGCCGGGAACUCAAAGGAGACUGCCAGUGAUAAACUGGAGGAAGGUGGGGAUGACGUCAAGUCAUCAUGGCCCUUACGACCAGGGCUACACACGUGCUACAAUGGCAUAUACAAAGAGAAGCGACCUCGCGAGAGCAAGCGGACCUCAUAAAGUAUGUCGUAGUCCGGAUUGGAGUCUGCAACUCGACUCCAUGAAGUCGGAAUCGCUAGUAAUCGUAGAUCAGAAUGCUACGGUGAAUACGUUCCCGGGCCUUGUACACACCGCCCGUCACACCAUGGGAGUGGGUUGCAAAAGAAGUAGGUAGCUUAACCUUCGGGAGGGCGCUUACCACUUUGUGAUUCAUGACUGGGGUGAAGUCGUAACAAGGUAACCGUAGGGGAACCUGCGGUUGGAUCACCU
rnacentral:rRNA from 1 species